rnacentral:lncRNA from 10 species
CAACCCAGGUUAAAUGAACACAUAUCUCACAGUUAUUUUUGUGCUGUAAAAUGGCAGAAUUGUUUAGUAUUGUACCUACGGCAAAAUGUUUUAGUGAGGUUUAAAUAUCUUGUGAUUUUACUUUCUAGCUAUGACUGUGUAUAAGACAGACGUGUUCCCUCUGCUUAUGGAGAUUACUAUCCGGCAGGGAAAAUAGACUUUAAGCUAUAUUGCCCAGGCUGGUGUUGAACUCCUGGGCUUACGUAAUCCUCCUGCUCAACUUUACCUUUUCUCUUCUCUCCAUUUAAGAAAACAUCAGGUUUUUUGCUUUGUUGCCUUAGGGCAAAGUGCAUGGGACGGUGAAGUGGGGAGUAGGAAUAAGUUCUCUGGCUUUUGUUCUCAAAGGCUUAAAUCCAUUUAGAAGAAUUCGGUCCAAGGGUAAAAGCAUGAUGGCUUGAAGAUGCAAGUGAAGAGAAGGGAAGAGAGAAACAAAUGACUUUCCUUCAGACUAGAAAGAGUUUACAUGGGCUUGGCAAGGGAAGAGAGUCCUGGACCCCUUGGCAGCACCCAGAGAGAUGGAUGCUGCACAGUGCACAUAGGAAAGUGGUUCAGCUUCACCUAAGAUUCUCAUACUCACGGUGAUAUAUGAACACAGCAAAGAGCUGACAGACUUCAAGGGACCUCUGUAAGCCUGGACCAUGAGGAAGGCAGUGGCCAUGAUGAUGGUCAAGGACUAGAGGGUCUACUUCUGCUUUCAGUGCAAAACGUUAGCCUCCUGAAUACACAUGUGACACUGGAAGGAAGAGAUCACCCUAGUAAUGACUGGGAUGAUAUUCCUGAUAGCCUAUUAGUUCUGAAGUUCAGAAAUGAGAUUAAUUAACUUAGAGGAAAUAAAGUGUUCAUGAUUGUGAACAAAAGAAG